UACGUAGGGGGCAAGCGUUGUCCGGAAUCAUUGGGCGUAAAGAGCGCGUAGGCGGUCCGGUAAGUCCGCUCUGAAAGCCCGGGGCUCAACCCCGGGAGGCGGGCGGAUACUGUCGGGCUAGAGUCCGGAAGAGGCGAGUGGAAUUCCUGGUGUAGCGGUGAAAUGCGUAGAGAUCGGAAAGAACACCAACGGCGAAAGCACUCUGCUGGGCCGACACUGACACUGAGAGACGAAAGCUAGGGGAGCGAAAUGG
rnacentral:rRNA from 1 species